GGCCUUCUAGUAUAAGGGUAGUACUCCUAGUUCUAAAUUAGGAGGUUAUAGGUUUAACUCCUACUAGGGCUA